rfam:Bombyx mori DNA, contig: Bm_scaf35_contig21289, strain: p50T/Dazao, build 2, whole genome shotgun sequence.
UUAACUCAUAUUUGUAUGGAGUUAGAACGUUUGCCUACGUUUGCGCUAAGGGCGCUGUUCCAACUGCAUACAAAUUUGAGUUA